rnacentral:rRNA from 1 species
UACCAUGCAGUCGACGAUGAUCCCUGGCUUGCUGGGGGGAUUAGUGGCGAACGGGUGAGUAACACGUGAGUAACCUGCCCUUGACUCUGGGAUAAGCCUGGGAAACUGGGUCUAAUACCGGAUACGACCAUCUGGCGCAUGUCAUGGUGGUGGAAAGCUUUUGUGGUUUUGGAUGGACUCGCGGCCUAUCAGCUUGUUGGUGGGGUAAUGGCCUACCAAGGCGACGACGGGUAGCCGGCCUGAGAGGGUGACCGGCCACACUGGGACUGAGACACGGCCCAGACUCCUACGGGAGGCAGCAGUGGGGAAUAUUGCACAAUGGGCGCAAGCCUGAUGCAGCGACGCCGCGUGAGGGAUGACGGCCUUCGGGUUGUAAACCUCUUUCAGUAGGGAAGAAGCGAAAGUGACGGUACCUGCAGAAGAAGCGCCGGCUAACUACGUGCCAGCAGCCGCGGUAAUACGUAGGGCGCAAGCGUUAUCCGGAAUUAUUGGGCGUAAAGAGCUCGUAGGCGGUUUGUCGCGUCUGCUGUGAAAGACCGGGGCUCAACUCCGGUUCUGCAGUGGGUACGGGCAGACUAGAGUGCAGUAGGGGAGACUGGAAUUCCUGGUGUAGCGGUGAAAUGCGCAGAUAUCAGGAGGAACACCGAUGGCGAAGGCAGGUCUCUGGGCUGUAACUGACGCUGAGGAGCGAAAGCAUGGGGAGCGAACAGGAUUAGAUACCCUGGUAGUCCAUGCCGUAAACGUUGGGCACUAGGUGUGGGGGGACAUUCCACGUUUUCC